rnacentral:rRNA from 1 species
ACAUCAGUCGCCACGGUAAUACGAAGGGUGCAAGCGUUAAUCGGAAUUACUGGGCGUAAAGCGUGCGUAGGCGGUGAGUUAAGUCUGCUGUGAAAUCCCCGGGCUCAACCUGGGAAUGGCAGUGGAUACUGGCUCGCUAGAGUGUGUCAGAGGAUGGUGGAAUUCCCGGUGUAGCGGUGAAAUGCGUAGAGAUCGGGAGGAACAUCAGUGGCGAAGGCGGCCAUCUGGGACAACACUGACGCUGAGGCACGAAAGCGUGGGGAGCAAACAGGAUUAGAUACCCGCGUAGUCCCUGUCUCUUAUAC